UACUUAACUCAAAAACCUUAUUGUAAAAUUAGCAGUUGGAUUUACUCAAAAUGACAGACCCAACCAGCCUAACUCUCCAUUUCUUAAGUAAUACAGUUUUUGUUUCAGAUAUCAAGUGGUAAUCUUGAUCCCUUCCUUGGAUAAUUCUCACAUUGAGAUUAUUUAUAAAACUCACUUGACAGUAUCUCAAUGGAUCCUUGGACCAACAGGAAAGAUCAGUGGCCUCUUGAGUCCCAAACUCCCAAUAGUCAUCACAUCUGCUGCCAGACUCAUUCCAACUGAGUGAUAAAUUCACUGACAAGUCUGCUAUUCAAAUUUCACUAAUACAAGGAAAUUCUUCUACAGCAAAAGGCUUUUUUGGGAAGAGAAUAGUUGAAACCGUGAAUGACUGAGAAACAGAUCAUGCAAUCUUCAACACCCUCAAAACGUUUGUCUACAUUAUUCUUCCAUAACGCUAAGCCUUCCAUAAUACUUCCAUUCUGUUAAUAAGAAAAAAAUAAAUUUAAUAAAUUAAUAAAUCAAUAUA